rnacentral:rRNA from 1 species
GACAGAGGGUGCAAACGUUGUUCGGAUUUACUGGGCGUAAAGCGCGUGUAGGCGGCUUGGCAAGUCGGAUGUGAAAGCCCACGGCUCAACCGUGGAAGCGCAUCCGAAACGGCCUCGCUCGAGUCUCGGAGAGGAAGGUGGGAAUGCUUGGUGUAGAGGUGAAAUUCGUAGAUAUCAAGCAGAACACCUGCGGCGAAGGCGGCCUUCUGGACGAUGACUGACGCUGAGACGCGAAAGCGUGGGGAGCAAACAGG